GUUCCAAAGAGGACGUCCUUGCUAUACAUAAUCUGCGGAUGGGUCAAUCUCUGUCGUCCAUUUCUUUAAAUGAAAAGCAACGGCUUGGAUCGAUCUCUUCCCAAAAACCCAUCGCUCGUCGAAGUAGAAAACCAAAGUUGGACUGUAGACUCUCCACUUUGGUUGCAUCGAAGGCUCUGGUUCUCUUUCUCCACCCAAAAUCCAAAACUUCUCAACUCCAAAUACCAUAAACUCAUCUCAGGUUGCAACAAUCGUGCAACCGAAGCUUUCUUUUUUUCUUUUCUCUCAUGAAAAUUGUAGCUCUCUUAUGGUCCCGACAUCCCUUGGAGUUUUCGCGCCAAAAGUUGGAGACUUGGAAGCAGAGAAACACAUCUAGAUUUCAAAUAAAUGGAGUCAGAGGAUGAUCAAGUUUAUAUUCCUCAAGUAAAGGCAGAGUUGUUCAUCAUCUCAUUUAGCAGAAUAAUGUCUCAAACAUAUCAGUUCACUACCAGAAAACAUGCUCUCUAAGGGGGCUCAGCUGAGAAAGCACAUUGAUGCAACACUAGGCAGUGGGAACCUAAGAGAAUCAGUAAAGCUUCCAACUGGAGAAGAUUUAAAUGAGUGGCUUGCUGUCAACAGUUUUGGAAGACAUUUUGGAUCAUUUCAAGAUUAUAUGGUAGAGUGAGGAUCAUAGUCAAUUCAUUAUGUAAUGGUUUCAAUUGUGGAUACUCAAUUGUUGUUGAUUUGUAAUGAUUCCAGAAAAUGAGGAGUGGAAUGACUUAAUAUGCAAUGUUAGACUCAAAAUGUUCCAAUCUGGAGCAAAAUGACUUAA